UACAGAGGGUGCGAGCGUUAAUCGGAAUUACUGGGCGUAAAGGGUGCGUAGGCGGAUGAAUAAGUUAGAUGUGAAAGUCCUGGGCUUAACCUAGGGAUUGCAUAUAAUACUGUUGAUCUGGAGUGAAGUAGAGGGUGGCGGAAUUUCCGGUGUAGCGGUGAAAUGCGUAGAUAUCGGAAAGAACACCAGUGGCGAAGGCGGCCACCUGGACUUCAACUGACGCUGAGGCACGAAAGCGUGGGUAGCGAACAGG
rnacentral:rRNA from 1 species